AUGCACGCUGGCGGCGUGCCUCAUACCUGCAAGUCGAGCGAACGGACGAGAAGCUUGCUUCUCUGAUGUUAGCGGCGGACGGGUGAGUAACACGUGGAUAACCUACCUAUAAGACUGGGAUAACUUCGGGAAACCGGAGCUAAUACCGGAUAAUAUUUUGAACCGCAUGGUUCAAAAGUGAAAGACGGUCUUGCUGUCACUUAUAGAUGGAUCCGCGCUGCGUUAGCUAGUUGGUAAGGUAACGGCUUACCAAGGCAACGAUGCAUAGCCGACCUGAGAGGGUGAUCGGCCACACUGGAACUGAGACACGGUCCAGACUCCUACGGGAGGCAGCAGUAGGGAAUCUUCCGCAAUGGGCGAAAGCCUGACGGAGCAACGCCGCGUGAGUGAUGAAGGUCUUCGGAUCGUAAAACUCUGUUAUUAGGGAAGAACAUAUGUGUAAGUAACUGUGCACAUCUUGACGGUACCUAAUCAGAAAGCCACGGCUAACUACGUG
rnacentral:rRNA from 1 species